AACUUUUUUAUAAUUUGUUUCCUAGAUACUGCACAUACUGCUUUACGAGCACGAGAUGCUAAAUGCAAUUACCCAUUAAUUGGAUGCCCCAGACACUAUGAUCCUGUCUGUGGCACUGAUGGACAUACUUAUAACAAUGAAUGUUUGCUGUGUUCAGAAAUUAGGAAAAGAAAUGUUCCUAUCCGUGUUAAAAAAAAAAAAAAAGAGGGGAGAU